UAAUACGUAGGGGGCUAGCGUUGUCCGGAAUCAUUGGGCGUAAAGCGCGUGUAGGCGGCCCAGUAAGUCCGCUCUGAAAGCCGGGGGCUCAACCCCCGGAGGCGGGUGGAUACUGCUGGGCUCGAGUCCGGAAGAGGCGAGUGGAAUUCCCGGUGUAGCGGUGAAAUGCGCAGAUAUCGGGAGGAACACCAAUGGCGAAGGCAGCUCGCUGGGACGGUACUGACGCUGAGACGCGAAAGCGUGGGGAGCAAACAGGAUUAGAUACCCUGGUAGUCCACGCCGUAAACGAUGGACACUAGGUGUGGGGGGUGUCGACUCCCUCCGUGCCGAAGCUAACGCAUUAAGUGUCCCGCCUGGGGAGUACGGCCGCAAGGCUA
rnacentral:rRNA from 1 species